rnacentral:rRNA from 1 species
GAUGAACGCUGGCGGCGUGCCUAAUACAUGCAAGUCGAGCGAACAGGCGAGGAGCUUGCUCCUCUGACGUUAGCGGCGGACGGGUGAGUAACACGUGGAUAACCUACCUAUAAGACUGGGAUAACUUCGGGAAACCGGAGCUAAUACCGGAUAAUAUAUUGAACCGCAUGGUUCAAUAGUGAAAGACGGUUUUGCUGUCACUUAUAGAUGGAUCCGCGCCGCAUUAGCUAGUUGGUAAGGUAACGGCUUACCAAGGCAACGAUGCGUAGCCGACCUGAGAGGGUGAUCGGCCACACUGGAACUGAGACACGGUCCAGACUCCUACGGGAGGCAGCAGUAGGGAAUCUUCCGCAAUGGGCGAAAGCCUGACGGAGCAACGCCGCGUGAGUGAUGAAGGUCCUCGGAUCGUAAAACUCUGUUAUUAGGGAAGAACAAAUGUGUAAGUAACUAUGCACGUCUUGACGGUACCUAAUCAGAAAGCCACGGCUAACUACGUG